UUCUCAACUUCAUCUAUUCUAUUGUUGUUUCCCUGGGAGUUGUUCUUUAUUUCAAUUAGUGUAUCCUUCUUUUCUGAUUGGAUCUUUUUUAUGCUGCUGAGGUCCUCACUAAAUUCUUCCAGCAUUCUUAUAAGCAGUAUUUUGAGCUCUGCAUCUGAUAGAUUUCUUACCUCCUUUUUGUUUAGCUCUUUUUCUGGAGUUUUGAUCUGUUCUUUCAUUUGGGCCAUGUUUCUUUGUCUCCUUGUUUUGGCAGCUUCCUUGUGUUUGUUUCUAUGUAUUAGGUAGAGCUGCUUUGAGUCCAUGUCUUGGUAGUAUGGCCUAAUGUAGUAGGUGUCCUGUACGGUCCAGUGGUACAGCCUGCUCUAUUACACAAACUGGGUACUCGAGUCGUACCCUUUGUGUGGGCUGAGUACACCCUCCUCUUGUAGUUGAGCUUUGGUUGCUGAUCAGUGACUGGAA